UCUUCUGAAGAUGUUAACUGAUGGACUGGAGUGGUGUGGAUUACUUGUGGAUUAUUGUGAUGUUUUUAUCAGCUGUUUGGACUCUCAUUCUGACGGCACCCAUUCACUGCAGAGGAUCCAUAGAUGUUAACUGAUGGACUGGAGUGGUGUGGAUUACUUUUGGAUUGUUGUGAUGUUUUUAUCAGCUGUUUGGACUCUCAUUCUGACGGCACCCAUUCACAUCCAUUGGUGAGCUAUGUGAUGCAAUGCUGCGUUUCUCCAAAUCUGAUGAAGAAACGAACUCAUCUACAUCUUGGAUGGCCUGAGGAGCCAAGAAAAGCAGACCGGACAUCAUGUUUGUGAAGGGAUCAGAGGAUUGGGUCCUCCAUCACCACAGCGAACGCAAUCAGGCCAUACGUCUCCAGGCUAAUGUUCUGUUUUUGUUGGUCGCCGUCAAGCAGAUGCGGAGGGCCGUCUGGGGCCGUCGAGAGGCACAUAACCGUCUGGCCAGGUGGGAAAAAGAAAGGAAGAAGCUCAGAGACAGACAUCAGAAGUGGAACUGAGCCACAUCUAAACUAGAAAAUCACAAACUUGAAGGUUCAGGACUUCACGGGUAACAAAAAACAGUCUGGAAAGCUUCUCUCAGAGUUAUGAACAAAAAAACGCUCAUUCAAUGCCGUCUGCAUUAAUGUUCACAAAGCGUUUGGACAGCAUUAUUUAUACAUCGUUUAUGGAUCAUUUAAUUUCUAAAACACUUGCAUUGGAUGUUUAUAUAAUGUUUGUUUUUUUUUAAAUGUUACUACUGUACAUGUUUCGGAAUGUUCAGAGAACAUUCAAAAGUAACAUUCCAAAAAUGUUUGAAAAAUUCUAAAAUGUUUAAAAAAAUGAACGAUUUGAAUGUUCUGAGAACAUUCAGAAUUAACAUUUCAUAACUAAAUCGUUUAUAGAACAUAUUAUUUGUUAGAUAGAUUAGCUGGAUAGAAACAAGUUUUGCACAGGUAAACGCCAUUCAACUUUUCUGCAGAAAAGUAGAAAUUAUAAUUAUUUUUCAUCAAUAUUUCUUCUGAUUUUUUUUUAAACCAAUUAAUUAUCUUAUGCUUCUCUGACAGUGUGCAAAACUUCAAAACACCAAGGGCCUUAUUUAUCAACAGUGUGUAGAAAAGGUUUAUAUUUGUCCUUAUAAACUGUUCUUAUGAACUCAUUAUGCACACACCUGUGCGUAUGCGCUGUUGAUAAAUGAGGGCCCAGGGUUUUUAUAGAUUACUAAAACCAUACAAAUAUAUUCAUUACUUGACAUAAAAUAAAUCUUAACUGAAUUAAAUAAAAAAAACAAGAGAUCUUAUUUCAGCUAGUUGCUGAAAUGGAAAUAAAAUUAAUAAAAACUAUACUGACAUUUAAAAAAAAACUUAUAAAAAGGACAAAAACACAAAAGAAAAUUACAAAAAAUUAAGCUAAAAUUAAAAUUAAAGCAGAAAAUACAAAAAUAAAAAAUGUGUUAAUAUUUAAAAUUAAAAAAUUAUUUUGUUAAUACAUGCUUAUAUCGUUCCAAACUUGAUUUAAUUUUAUUUUUAAAUGGUUGAAUGCAUUGGAAAUCUUCCACUUCGCUGUAGUUGUAGCUGUAAUAUCUCUUUUGCAUUCACGUGCAUUCAUAUAUGAAGCGUCAUGAUGUGCCGUUCAAAGUUUGUAAACCAUGUUUUGUAUUUACUACAGUAUUUCAGAGUUUACACAACAUGCAAAUCAGUGAUGAAUAGUGGCUUGUGCAAUGUUGUUGCAAUCUCACCUGCACACAUUACAACCACAAAGCAGGAAUGAGCUUAAAUAUCUGGAUCUUAUUCAGAUUCAUCUGAGCAAACAGCUCUUAAAUAGAUAUUCUGUAACUGCAUUGGUUGUUGUUUUAGCUGCAGGCCAGGAUACGUUCGUUCAGUUACAGAAAGUGUUGCAACAUGAGAUAUCAGUUACUGCUCCUCUGCCAGAAAACCUUCUCACAACGCAUUUAAAAAAAAAAAAAAAAGUAAUAAAAAUGGCAAAAGCAAAACAAUAUUACACAAAAAAAUAACUAAUAUUAAAAUGGAAAAUUCUAAAUAAUAUGAAAAAAUCAUACAUUUAUCAAAAGUAAUGUAAUAUUGUUGCUGUACUAUGAUAACGUGUGUUUACUAGAACCAUCAAAAAUGAUUAUGUUUUCAGUUCUAAUGACUAAAUUUGGAACACAUGUACAGUAUGAAAACAACAAGUGGUGAGAAUGAAACUGAGAGUUUGUGAAUGUCUUUUGUCCUGAACUUGUUUCUUCAGCAGGCGUGACAGUCCGUGUGCGUCACUGAAGCCUUACUGUAGGAAACUUGCUCUGUGUGUGUUUGCGUGAGGUUUCGUGACGACACGCCUCGUGAGGUGUCAGCAGCUCCUGUAAAGCCAGAGAUGUUUUGCUGAACAGGAUUUUGGGUAAAUGGAGGGCGGGACAUUCAGAGAGCCAUUCUUUACUCUUCAGUCCAUCAGGGCACAUGCAGCAUGUGAGUUUACAAGCUUACAGGAGUCAAUCAACAGAUUUUGUGAAGUACUUUUGAGGGCUAUUUCAGAAUAUUUCAAUUAUUUUUAAAGGGGUCAAUGCAUAGUUUGUAUUUCAUUUCAUUUUUAUAUUUAUUGAUUUUUUUUUGCCCUAAGGUUC